rnacentral:rRNA from 1 species
GUCGUCAGCUCGUGCCGUGAGGUGUUGGGUUAAGUCCCGCAACGAGCGCAACCCCUAUUCCUAGUUGCCAGCACGUAAUGGUGGGGACUCAUGGGAGACUGCCGGGGUCAACUCGGAGGAAGGUGGGGAUGACGUCAAAUCAUCAUGCCCCUUAUGUCUUGGGCUUCACGCAUGCUACAAUGGCCGGUACAAUGGGUUGCGAUACUGUGAGGUGGAGCUAAUCCCAAAAAGCCGGUCUCAGUUCGGAUUGGGGUCUGCAACUCGACCCCAUGAAGUCGGAGUCGC